rnacentral:rRNA from 1 species
UACAGAGGGUGCAAGCGUUGUUCGGAAUUAUUGGGCGUAAAGCGCGUGUAGGCGGUUUCGCAAGUCGGGUGUGAAAGCCCUCAGCUCAACUGAGGAAGUGCGCCCGAAACUGCGGAGCUUGAGUACCGGAGAGGAUGGCGGAAUUCCCCAAGUAGAGGUGAAAUGCGUAGAUAUCAGGAGGAACACCGGUGGCGAAGGCGGCUCUCUGGACGGUGACUGACGCUGAGACGCGAAAGCGUGGGGAGCGAACAGG